CAGCAGCAGCAGGAGGUGGAGGAGGAUGAGGAGAGGAGGGGAUGAAGGGGGGCACCCAGGCAUGAAGAUUAUAUCCUGUGUCACUUUUUAGGCUGUGGGACAUCCCUAUGGGAAAGCAGUGCUUUGGAGGCACUGGCAGUAUUUCUCUUCUCUCAUGGGGAUGAAGAGUCAGUCCUGAAAAAUUUUGAGAACCAGAAAACUUCAGGCCUAAUCCAUUGGAGAAAAGACCUUUUCAACUAAAAACCCUGGGAUGUGUCACUGAAGGAAAUGCAGAAGCCAAAUGCUCGGACAAUUUGAAAAGGCACACCAAUUUUUUUUUCCAAGAUGAAACAAAUGCUGCAGCUCCCCUCGCCUGCAGGAAGUUCCGUGGAUGUUUUCCCACCAGCAAUUUCUCUGCUGGCUCGCAUUGGGCCAUGGGCAAGCUGUGGCCAUGGGGCAAAUGGACCACCCUGAGCCCUUACUGGACUCUUUAGUUGUCCCAGGGACAAAUUUAGGCAAAUGUGUUGAGCUGUCUGUGAAAAUACUGCAGGCCUGAGACGGCGGAAAAGAGGAGCUGUAAAAGGACAUCAUCUCGAGGCUGUGUGCUUUGAAGGAGGAGCUCCUAUUGCCCCCUGGCUGAAGUGCUUUUGCUCAAAUUUAAAAAUCAAAUCACAUCUGGAGGAAGCCCAGACCUUGCGAGUUUCCACAGAGGGUGGUGAACCUCUCUCUCUAGAUGUCUGAGAUAAUCUCCUUGAGGAACUCGCCCAAAUUUCCAUCCUGGAACGAGACCCUUCCCUUUUUGCACAAGAAGGGAUGGCACGAGCCACCACCCCGUGAAUUCAGCGAGAGGAGGAGGAGACGGAUGAAGCCCCAGGAGAGGGGAGAGCAGAUAUAUUUCCAGCCUGGAGCUGAACAGCGAUGAAGCAACGAAUGCGGAGAGGUUCAGAGGAAUAACCAGAUGUGCAUGCGAUGGCUGGGGCUGCAGAAGGGAGAGAAGAUUGUUUUGCAGAGUCCAAGUGCAGGAGUCAUCCUGGCUAUGGAUAUGCUCUCCAGGCGGCUGCUGGCUGGCUGUACUGGGCCAUACUGGGCUGUUAGUGGGCAGGGGUUAUGGCCAGCCCACCCCAAGGCUCGUGCCUCUUGCAGGGGGACAGUGACCCUUGCGAGACAAAGCCACAGGUCAUUGUCUUGGCUGCAGGCUUGGAAAAUAAAUGUAACCCUGGAGAGAAGGUUAAGGUAGAGUCAGCAGAAGAAAAAUGGCCCAAGCUGUUGAAAGCCCCUUUCUCUCUGGAGGGAUGGGGAAGGGGAAAGCAAGGUUGUGGUUAGUUUUUUGUAAAAGGCUUGUAGGGACUGCUUCUAGAAAGCAGAAGAAGCUGCUUGAGCGCUGCUGAGUCCUCAGUUCCCUUCAUUAAGGGGAGAAGGCAGCACAAUGAAUUCGCCAUUAAAAUAGUAAUAAUAAAAAGCCAUAGCCCCUAAACUAUUCUGUUUAAAAAUAAUAAUAAAAAUUAAGAGGUAGUUGCCA